rnacentral:rRNA from 1 species
CCUACGGGUGGCAGCAGUGGGGAAUAUUGGGCAAUGGGCGCAAGCCUGACCCAGCAACGCCGCGUGAAGGAAGAAGGCUUUCGGGUUGUAAACUUCUUUUCUGAGGGACGAAGAAAGUGACGGUACCUCAGGAAUAAGCCACGGCUAACUACGUGCCAGCAGCCGCGGUAAUACGUAGGUGGCAAGCGUUAUCCGGAUUUAUUGGGUGUAAAGGGCGUGUAGGCGGGAAAGCAAGUCAGAUGUGAAAACUCAGGGCUCAACCCUGAGCCUGCAUUUGAAACUGUUUUUCUUGAGUGCUGGAGAGGCAAUCGGAAUUCCGUGUGUAGCGGUGAAAUGCGUAGAUAUACGGAGGAACACCAGUGGCGAAGGCGGAUUGCUGGACAGUAAUUGACGCUGAGGAACGAAAGCCAGGGUAGCAAAUGGGAUUAGAUACCCUUGUAGUC